AGCAGCCGCGGUAAUUCCAGCUCCAAUAGCGUAUAUUAAAGUUGUUGCAGUUAAAAAGCUCGUAGUUGAAUUUCGAGAUCGGCUUACUGGUCGUGCUUUUGUACGUACUGGUAAAUCGGUUUCUCCUUUCUGACGAACUUUAAUGCCAUUAAUUUGGUGUUUUAAGGGAAUCAGGACUGUUACUUUGAAAAAAUUAGAGUGUUUAAAGCAGGCUCACGCUUGAAUACAUUAGCAUGGAAUAACGGAAUAGGACGUUUGAUUUUAUUUUGUUGGUUUCUAGGAUCGACGUAAUGAUUAAUAGGGAUAGUUGGGGGCAUUAGUAUUCAAUUGUCAGAGGUGAAAUUCUUGGAUUUUAUUGAAGACUAACUACUGCGAAAGCAUUUGCCAAGGAUGUUUUCAUUAAUCAAGAACGAAAGUUAGGGGAUCGAAGACGAUCAGAUACCGUCGUAGUCUUAACCAUAAACUAUGCCGACUAGGGAUCGGAUGAUGUUAAUUUUUUCAAUGACUCAUUCGGCGCCUU
rnacentral:rRNA from 1 species